rnacentral:tRNA from 1 species
UCCCUGGUGGCUUAGUGCUAAAGAAUCUGCCUUCAAUGCAGGAGACCUGGGUUCAAUCCCUGGGUCGGGAA